CCGGUCUGAACUCAGAUCAUGUAAGAAUUUAAAGGUCGAACAGACCUAUUAAUCAAGCGGCUACACCUGAUAAUAAUCUUAAUCCAACAUCGAGGUCGCAAGCCCUUCCGUAAAUAUGAACUCCAAAGAAGGAUUACGCUGUUAUCCCUAAGGUAACUUAAUCUAAUAAUCAAUAAUAAUGGAUCAUUAAUAAACAUAAAUCAAUGAGUUAAAAUAAAUAAAAGUUAAUUAAAUUCAAAUGUCACCCCAACAGAAUAAUUAAUAAUGAUAAAAUAAAAGAUAAACAAAAUUAAUUCAAAAUAAUAAUUAUAAAGCUCUAUAGGGUCUUCUCGUCUACCAAUAAAAUUUUAGCCUUUUAACUAAAAGGUCAAAUUCAAAAAUUUAAUAUAUGAGACAGUUAACACCUCGUCAAACCCUUCAUUCCAGCCUUCUAUUAAAAGACUAAUGAUUAUGCUACCUUUGCACGGUCAAAAUACCGCGGCCGUUAAACUAACAUUCACCGGGCAGGUCAGACUUCUUAAAUAAUAACAAGAAGAC
rnacentral:rRNA from 2 species